rnacentral:rRNA from 1 species
CUGGCUCAGGAUGAACGCUAGCUACAGGCUUAACACAUGCAAGUCGAGGGGCAGCAUGAUCGAAGCUUGCUUUGAUUGAUGGCGACCGGCGCACGGGUGAGUAACGCGUAUCCAACCUUCCCUAUAGUAGAGAAUAGCCCGGCGAAAGUCGGAUUAAUGCUCUAUGUUGUAUUUAGAGGACAUCUGAAGAAUACCAAAGGUUUACCGCUAUAGGAUGGGGAUGCGUCUGAUUAGGUAGUAGGCGGGGUAACGGCCCACCUAGCCGACGAUCAGUAGGGGUUCUGAGAGGAAGGUCCCCCACAUUGGAACU